rnacentral:rRNA from 1 species
GGAUUAGAUACCCUGGUAGUCCACGCUGUAAACGAUGAAUACUAGGUGUUGGAUACGUUAGUAUCCAGUGCCGCAGCUAACGCAUUAAGUAUUCCACCUGGGGAGUACGAUCGCAAGGUUGAAACUCAAAGGAAUUGACGGGGGCCCGCACAAGCAGUGGAGCAUGUGGUUUAAUUCGAUGCAACGCGAAGAACCUUACCUAGGCUUGAAAGGCAAGCGACCGAGUGUGAAAGCACUCUUCCAGCAAUGGCGCUUGUACAGGUGCUGCAUGGCUGUCGUCAGCUCGUGCCG